UUACAUAUCACCUGGGAAUCUUAUUAAAAUUCAGAAUCUGACUCAGUAGGUUUAUGGUAGGGUGGGUGUGAGAUUUUGCAUUUCUAAAAGGCUUUCAAAUGAUAUCACU
rnacentral:miRNA from 1 species